AUUGAACGCUGGCGGCAUGCCUAACACAUGCAAGUCGAACGGCAGCACAGCAGUAGCAAUACUGUGGGUGGCGAGUGGCGGACGGGUGAGGAAUACGUCGGAAUCUGCCCAGUCGUGGGGGAUAACUAGCCGAAAGGUUAGCUAAUACCGCAUACGACCGAGAGGUGAAAGCGGGGGACCGCAAGGCCUCGCGCGAUUGGAUGAGCCGACGUCGGAUUAGCUAGUUGGCGGGGUAAAGGCCCACCAAGGCGACGAUCCGUAGCUGGUCUGAGAGGAUGAUCAGCCACACUGGAACUGAGACACGGUCCAGACUCCUACGGGAGGCAGCAGUGGGGAAUAUUCGACAAUGGGCGCAAGCCUGAUCCAGCAAUGCCGCGUGUGUGAAGAAGGCCUCGGUUGUAAGACACUUUAUCUAGGAACGAAAAGACGUUGGAGUUAAUACUACUGACGUGCUGACGGUACC
rnacentral:rRNA from 1 species